UACGUAGGGGGCAAGCGUUGUCCGGAUUUAUUGGGCGUAAAGAGCGUGUAGGCGGUUAGGUAGGUCCGUUGUGAAAACUCGAGGCUCAACCUCGAGACGCCGAUGGAAACCAUCUAACUAGAGUCCGGAAGAGGAGAGUGGAAUUCCUGGUGUAGCGGUGAAAUGCGCAGAUAUCAGGAAGAACACCCGUGGCUAGGGCGGCUCUCUAGUACGGUACUGACGCUGAGACGCGAAAGCGUGGGGAGCGAACAGG
rnacentral:rRNA from 1 species